GCAACUCGACUCCAUGAAGCUGGAUUCGCUAGUAAUCGCGCAUCAGCCAUGGCGCGGUGAAUACGUUCCCGGGCCUUGUACACACCGCCCGUCACACCAUGGGAGUUUGUAACGCCCAAAGUCGGUGGCCUAACCUUUAUGGAGGGAGCCGCCUAAGGCGGGACAGAUGACUGGGGUGAAGUCGUAACAAGGUAGC
rnacentral:rRNA from 1 species